AUUGAUUUAUUUAUAUUAGGUGAUACACAAAGGUACAAAAAGUAUAUCUGAAGCUUUUAUACUAUCAAUGCUUAUUGAUAUUUCGUAGGAUUUUGUUUUAUGACUUUAAAAGUGUAUGUUAACCCUAGUUGUUUUCAAAACGAGACAGCUAGUUCAUUCAUUCAAAGACAUGGAGAACUACAUUGGCUAUUGUAGUAUUUCCUAAAUGCUGUUAAAAUAUGAUGCCAUCCGAUACAUGGAGGAAGUGCAGUUGAAUAAAAAUUAUCUACAUUGUGCCCAUUUUAACAGCCUUGUUUACGUUAGCUUGCUAGCCAGCUACUAGCAAACCGGUUGACUGAAGCAAACUUGUGUAAAGUUAAACGUAGGUCUAAGUGUUCAAAUACUCCUAUGAAACGGCUAUAUUGGUCUGAAUUUGGCUCGUGGUACACUUUUACACGGAUUGGUGAUGCUCUCAACAGGUUUGGCACCAACUGUGUUUUUAACGGUACAAAUCCUAAAGCGGUGGCAUCAUGUUCUCCUCACGUUAACGAAAUCCAGGCUAAUUAUUUAUUAGCAAUUAAUGGAUGGCCAUGAACUGCGCCCUCGUCCCAUGCUGUCCAUCAUUGGUGAAUGAAUGAAGUAGCUGGGCUCAUAGUUUGAUACAGAUGUCCGUGGUUGGGCUACAAAUAUCUGAAUUUGUCCUUAAUCUUGUGCAACAGUAAACAGGUGGAAUUACCUCUGGGUCGGACAGGGCUAGCCAGCUGUAAUCCACCCUGCUACGGUGAUGCCCGCCUGCCUCCCGGCUUUUACGACCAAGAAUCGGAGCGCUGAUGUGAUGUUUCCCCGUCGACUGAUGAGGGAAGGAAGAGAAGGCAGCCACGACACGCGAUUGUUCAACAUGACAGUGAGACAGAAAAAUAAUGUCAAGAUAAAUAAAAAAUCAUGAUGAGUGAA